rnacentral:rRNA from 1 species
CUACGGGGGGCAGCAGUGGGGAAUAUUGGACAAUGGGGGCAACCCUGAUCCAGCCAUGCCGCGUGAAUGAAGAAGGCCUUCGGGUUGUAAAGUUCUUUUAAUAGUGAAGAUAAUGACGGUAGCUAUAGAAAAAGUACCGGCUAACUCCGUGCCAGCAGCCGCGGUAAUACGGAGGGUACGAGCGUUGUUCGGAUUUACUGGGCGUAAAGGGUGCGUAGGCGGAUAUUAAGGUCAGAUGUGAAAGCCCAGGGCUCAACCCUGGAACUGCAUUUGAAACCGGAUAUCUAGAGUGUGAUAGAGGAUGAUGGAAUUUCUAGUGUAGCAGUGAAAUGCGUAGAUAUUAGAAGGAACACCAGAGGCGAAGGCGAUCAUCUGGGUCACAACUGACGCCGAGGCACGAAAGUGUGGGUAGCAAACAGGAUUAGAUACCCUAGUAGUC